rnacentral:rRNA from 1 species
UACGGAGGGUGCAAGCGUUAUCCGGAUUCACUGGGUUUAAAGGGUGCGUAGGUGGGCCGGUAAGUCAGUGGUGAAAUCUCCGGGCUUAACCCGGAAACUGCCAUUGAUACUAUCUGUCUUGAAUACCGUGGAGGUGAGCGGAAUAUGUCAUGUAGCGGUGAAAUGCUUAGAUAUGACAUAGAACACCAAUUGCGAAGGCAGCUCACUACGCGAAUAUUGACACUGAGGCACGAAAGCGUGGGGAGCAAACAGG